rnacentral:rRNA from 1 species
UACGUAGGCAGCAAGCGUUGUUCGGAGUUACUGGGCGUAAAGAGUGCGUAGGUGGUGCCCUAAGUCUGUUGUGAAAUCUCCCGGCUUAACUGGGAGGGUGCGGUGGAAACUGGGGUGCUUGAGUGUGGGAGAGGUAAGCGGAAUUCCUGGUGUAGCGGUGAAAUGCGUAGAUAUCAGGAGGAACACCGGUGGUGUAGACGGCUUACUGGACCACGACUGACACUGAGGCACGAAAGCGUGGGGAUCAAACAGG